CAACGACUUCCACCUGACAUGCCUAUUCGUUCGUCCGGUAAAGGCUUUAACUGCCUAAACAACUUGUGGGUUUCAUGUGUUGCCUACCUAACAUACGGUAUUGAUCUGGCUUAUCUGAGUUCUGUUCGUCUUUCGUCAUGCUUAUGACAUCUGAUGAACCCUAAACCUGUCUCUUUGAACCACAUCGUUAAUGCUUGUGUUGAUGUAGUGGCGCAUUGAGCCUUGGUUGGUCUCUUUGAUGUGGUACCCGAUGUGGGCAUGGGUCUCAUGUGAUCCUGGUUAUGUCCCUGUUUAGUGUUUACGCUUCCUAAAAUGACUGCUGAACACGCAUUGUCUCGUAACAGCGUGUUGGGCUUGGUCUAAGAGGAAAGUUACCUGGU
rnacentral:misc_RNA from 1 species